rnacentral:rRNA from 1 species
UACGUAGGGUGCAAGCGUUGUCCGGAAUUAUUGGGCGCAAAGAGCUCGUAGGCGGUUUGUCGCGUCUGCUGUGAAAACUCGGGGCUUAACUCCGGGCCUGCAGUGGGUACGGGCAGACUAGAGUGCGGUAGGGGAGACUGGAAUUCCUGGUGUAGCGGUGAAAUGCGCAGAUAUCAGGAGGAACACCGGUGGCGAAGGCGGGUCUCUGGGCCGUAACUGACGCUGAGGAGCGAAAGCGUGGGGAGCGAACAGG